rnacentral:tRNA from 1 species
AUCGCGGUAGUUUAAUGGCUAUAAUACCCGCUUCUCACGCGGGAGAUCGGAGUUCGAUUCCCCGUCGCGAUG